ACUUAAACGUCCCUGAAGAAGAUUCAGAAAAAGUUACACCAUAAAGAAAAUGCUAUAAUGAAAAUGGUAUUCACCUCAAAUAAGCUUUAGACACAAAACCACAAGCUUUUAAUCAACACUUAAAUUGCAAAUAUUAAGCACCCACGUUCACACAUGUAUCCAAUGGCCAACAAUGCCCACAUCACCCUUUAAUGAAAAAAAGAAAAGAAAAGAGUCCAAUCACUACCUAUUCACAUCUGCUUAAUCAUACAAAAACAUAAAAAAUCCAUACUGACACGCGUCUAAAACUCAUGAAUCAAGAGGGAUGAGUAGUAGCUUUCAGACUGACUUCCCCUAAUUUCCAAUCGCCCAACUGUACAGCCAAGAAUAUUUACUUAAUUUCCAAAAGCUAUCAGUUUGCGGUAAUCCAGAUCAAGAUUUUUUGAGAUUAGGAGUAGAAGUCAUGAUCUUAAGGGUGAUUGUACCUUUUCAGUGUAUACCAUCUAAAUUAUGAUUGAAACUCUUAAAAUUGCAGGAAUUAAAGCUACCCAGUUAAAAAAAAAAUCAAUUAAUUAACAAUCAACCAUAAUCCAUCAUUUAAUAACAAAAGAAACAAAAAAUAAAGUUAUAAAGAGUGAUAAGAAAACUGAAGAAGAAGCAGGAAUCAGAAUUACCCACCUCCAUCCCAAGGAGUAUCAUCAGGUCUACAAAAAAACAAAAAACAAAAAA